rnacentral:rRNA from 1 species
AUACGGAGGGUGCAAGCGUUGUUCGGAAUUAUUGGGCGUAAAGCGCGUGUAGGCGGUCUUUUAAGUCUGAUGUGAAAGCCCCGGGCUCAACCUGGGAAGUGCAUUGGAAACUGGGAGACUUGAGUACGGGAGAGGAGAGUGGAAUUCCUAGUGUAGGAGUGAAAUCCGUAGAUAUUAGGAGGAACACCAGUGGCGAAGGCGGCUUACUGGACUGUAACUGACGUUGAGGCUCGAAAGCGUGGGGAGCAAACAGGAUUAGAUACCCUGGUAGUCCACGCCGUAAACGAUGAGUACUAGGUGUUGCGGGUAUUGACCCCUGCAGUGCCGUAGCUAACGCAUUAAGUACUCCGCCUGGGAAGUACGGUCGCAAGACUAAA